CAGUCGCCACGGUAAUGCGUAGGUGGCAAGCGUUGUCCGGAAUUAUUGGGCGUAAAGGGCUCGCAGGCGGUUUCUUAAGUCUGAUGUGAAAGCCCCCGGCUCAACCGGGGAGGGUCAUUGGAAACUGGGAAACUUGAGUGCAGAAGAGGAGAGUGGAAUUCCACGUGUAGCGGUGAAAUGCGUAGAGAUGUGGAGGAACACCAGUGGCGAAGGCGACUCUCUGGUCUGUAACUGACGCUGAGGAGCGAAAGCGUGGGGAGCGAACAGGAUUAGAUACCCGAGUAGUCCCUGUCUCUUAUAC
rnacentral:rRNA from 1 species